rnacentral:lncRNA from 1 species
CCCACAAGCCAGAUAAAAAUCGCUUCACUCUGGUUCAUGCCAGAGGACUGUGACAGACCAUGAAGAGACAACCCUGAGCCUGGACCCACCCAGCGGCCUCAGACCCUCCCCAGGAGGCGAUGGGACUGAGGGCAACUGCUCGGGUCUGGUUUUAUCGGCUGCUGGACAUUCGUUGGAGGGACCAGUUUCACUCUGCUCAUUUCUUUUCUCCACUGGAUUGAGAAUUGCAGCUUGCAUUUUAAUUUUUUUUGAGAUGGCCAGUGACAACCUGCCCGGUGGCCUGACAGGAAGGUAUGGAGAAGCGGCAGAGGAUGUCAUUUCUAUUACGGAUCAGCAGUGAUUCUGUGAAUCUACACGGAAAAGUAACCGAAUCAGAGGUUUUGGGGUGCCCACGUCUGUGGGGAAUUGUCCCAGCACCUUCUGCAGAGUCAGGAGGUCUGGGACCCUGACGCGGCUGCGUCCACAUUUCUGACGGUCUGGGCGCACACACACGUAUUUAUGUAAAUCCUGACUACAGACCCCAGUGAAUUAUCAUGAAGUGAACACAGGCACGUGAUGCCCCCGGGGCAAGAAAUGGGGCGUUUCCAGCACGACAGAGUCUCACCUGGUCCUGCCUCAAACCACGCCACGCUUCCGUCCAAGGCCUCUGUCUGACUUCUGACACUGCGGCUUAUUUUGAAUCCUUACAAAAUACAACAAACGUAUGUUUGUUAGUGUAUUUUCAUUAUUUGUUUCUGAAUUUUUUUCAAACGAUGCUCGUGAGAUUCAUCAGUGUCGCACGUGGGACCA